rnacentral:rRNA from 1 species
UGAGGAAUAUUCCACAAUGGGCGAAAGCCUGAUGGAGCGACGCCGCGUGGAGGAAGAAGCCUUUCGGGGUGUAAACUCCUUUUGUCGGGGAUGACACACAGCCAACCCGCAAGGGAAGGUUGUUAGGACAGUACCUGGCGAAUAAGCAUCGGCUAACUACGUGCCAGCAGCCGCGGUAAUACGUAGGAUGCAAGCGUUGUCCGGAUUUACUGGGCGUAAAGCGCGCGCAGGCGGCAGUACAAGUCACUUGUGAAAUCUCAGAGCUUAACUCUGAACGGUCAAGUGAUACUGUCGUGCUAGAGUGCAGAAGGGGCAACUGGAAUUCUCGGUGUAGCGGUGAAAUGCGUAGAUAUCGAGAGGAACACCUGCGGCGAAGGCGGGUUGCUGGGCUGACACUGACGCUGAUGCGCGAAAGCCAGGGGAGCGAACGG